rfam:Nippostrongylus brasiliensis genome assembly, scaffold: NBR_scaffold0000240
AUCUCACUGGCGUAGUGGUUAACGCACGACCCCGAUUAGGCGCGAGACGCGGGUUCAAAUCCCGCCUAAGAUG